UACGGGGGGGGCAAGCGUUGUUCGGAAUUACUGGGCGUAAAGGGCUCGUAGGCGGCCAACUAAGUCGGACGUGAAAUCCCCAGGCUCAACCUGGGAACUGCGUCCGAUACUGGAUGGCUUGAAUCCGGGAGAGGGAUGCAGAAUUCCAGGUGUAGCGGUGAAAUGCGUAGAUAUCUGGAGGAAUACCGGUGGCGAAGGCGGCAUCCUGGACCGGCAUUGACGCUGAGGAGCGAAAGCCAGGGAGCAAAGCGGG
rnacentral:rRNA from 1 species